GAUGAACGCUGGCGGCGUGCUUAACACAUGCCAGUCGAACGGGAUCCAAGGGGUGCUUGCACUUUUUGGUGAGAGUGGCGCACGGGUGAGUAACACGUGAGUAACCUGUCCUUUUCUUUGGGAUAAGCAUUCGAAAGGGUGUUUAAUACCUUAUGUUCUGUCUGCCUCGCAUGGGGUGGGUGGGAAAGGCUUUGGCCGGAUUUGGGUGGGCUCGCGGUCUAUCAGCUUGUUGGUGGGGUGAUGGCUUACCAAGGCUUUGACGGGUAGCCGGCCUGGGAGGGUGGUCGGUCACAUUGGGACUGAGAUCCGGCCCAGACUCCUGCGGGAGGCAGCAGUGGGGGAUAUUGCACAAUGGGCGAAAGCCUGAUGCAGCGACGCCGCGUGGGGGAUGAAGGCCUUCGGGUUGUAAACUUCUUUUGCUCUGAACAAGGCAUGCCAGUGGGUGUGUUGCGUGUAGGGGUCGAUUAGCGCCGGCUAACUACGUG
rnacentral:rRNA from 1 species